rnacentral:rRNA from 1 species
CUACGGGAGGCUCCAGUGGGGAAUAUUGGGCAAUGGGCGCAAGCCUGACCCAGCAACGCCGCGUGAGGGAAGAAUGUCUUCGGAUUGUAAACCUCCGUCCUUGGGGACGAAAAAAAUGACGGUACCCAAGGAGGAAGCUCCGGCUAACUACGUGCCAGCAGCCGCGGUAAUACGUAGGGAGCAAGCGUUGUCCGGAAUUAUUGGGCGUAAAGGGUGCGUAGGCGGCGCUGUAAGUCAGAUGUGAAAUCCCCGGGCUUAACUCGGGAGUUGCAUUUGAAACUACAGUGCUUGAGUAAAGAAGGGGUAAGUGGAAUUCCUAGUGUAGCGGUGGAAUGCGUAGAUAUUAGGAGGAACACCAGUGGCGUAGGCGACUUACUGGUCUUUUACUGACGCUGAGGCACGAAAGCGUGGGGAGCAAACAGGAUUAGAUACCCCUGUAGUC